UAGGGAAUCUUCGGCAAUGGACGAAAGUCUGACCGAGCAACGCCGCGUGAGUGAAGAAGGUUUUCGGAUCGUAAACUCUGUUGUUAGAGAAGAACAAGGACGUUAGUAACUGAACGUCCCCUGACGGUAUCUAACCAGAAAGCCACGGCUAACUACGUGCCAGCAGCCGCGGUAAUACGUAGGUGGCAAGCGUUGUCCGGAUUUAUAGGGCGUAAAGCGAGCGCAGGCGGUUUCUUAAGUCUGAUGUGAAAGCCCCCGGCUCAACCGGGGAGGGUCAUUGGAAACUGGGAGACUUGAGUGCAGAAGAGGAGAGUGGAAUUCCAUGUGUAGCGGUGAAAUGCGUAGAUAUAUGGAGGAACACCAGUGGCGAAGGCGGCUCUCUGGUCUGUAACUGACGCUGAGGCUCGAAAGCGUGGGGAGCAAACAGG
rnacentral:rRNA from 1 species